UACGUAGGGAGCAAGCGUUGUUCGGAUUUACUGGGCGUAAAGGGCGCGUAGGCGGCGUGGCAAGUCACUUGUGAAAUCUCCGGGCUUAACCCGGAGCGGUCAAGUGAUACUGUCGUGCUAGAGUGCGGAAGGGGCUACUGGAAUUCUCGGUGUAGCGGUGAAAUGCGUAGAUAUCGAGAGGAACACCUGCGGCGAAGGCGGGUAGCUGGGCCGACACUGACGCUGAUGCGCGAAAGCCAGGGGAGCGAACGGG
rnacentral:rRNA from 1 species